rnacentral:rRNA from 1 species
GACGAACGCUGGCGGCGUGCUUAACACAUGCAAGUCGAACGGUGAACCAGAGCUUGCUCUGGGGAUCAGUGGCGAACGGGUGAGUAACACGUGGGCAACCUGCCCCAGACUCUGGGAUAACCCCGGGAAACCGGAGCUAAUACCGGAUAUGACCACUUCGGACAUCCGAUGGUGGUGGAAAGUUUUUCGGUCUGGGAUGGGCCCGCGGCCUAUCAGCUAGUUGGUGGGGUAAUGGCCUACCAAGGCGACGACGGGUAGCCGGCCUGAGAGGGCGACCGGCCACACUGGAACUGAGACACGGUCCAGACUCCUACGGGAGGCAGCAGUGGGGAAUAUUGCACAAUGGGCGAAAGCCUGAUGCAGCGACGCCGCGUGAGGGACGACGGCCUUCGGUUGUAACCUACUUCUAGCAGGGACGAAGCGAAGUGACUGUACCUGCAAAGAAGACACCGGCUAACUACGUGCCAGCAGCCG